rnacentral:rRNA from 1 species
GAUGAACGCUGGCGGCGUGCCUAAUACAUGCAAGUCGAGCGAACAGAUGAGGAGCUUGCUCCUCUGACGUUAGCGGCGGACGGGUGAGUAACACGUGGAUAACCUACCUAUAAGACUGGGAUAACUUCGGGAAACCGGAGCUAAUACCGGAUAAUAUAUUGAACCGCAUGGUUCAAUAGUGAAAGACGGUUUUGCUGUCACUUAUAGAUGGAUCCGCGCCGCAUUAGCUAGUUGGUAAGGUAACGGCUUACCAAGGCAACGAUGCGUAGCCGACCUGAGAGGGUGAACGGCCACACUGGAACUGAGACACGGGCCAGACUCCUACGGGAAGCAGCAGGAGGGAAUCUUCCGCAAUGGGCGAAAGCCUGACGGAGCAAAGCCGCGUGAGUGAUGAAGGUCUUCGGAUCGUAAAACUCUGUUAUUAGGGAAAAACAAAAGUGUAAGUAACUAUGCACGUCUUGACGGUACCUAAUCAGAAAAGCACGGCUAACUUCGUG